AAGAGACAGCAGUCGCCGCGGGAAUACGUAGGUGGCAAGCGUUGUCCGGAAUUAUUGGGCGUAAAGGGCUCGCAGGCGGUUUCUUAAGUCUGAUGUGAAAGCCCCCGGCUCAACCGGGGAGGGUCAUUGGAAACUGGGAAACUUGAGUGCAGAAGAGGAGAGUGGAAUUCCACGUGUAGCGGUGAAAUGCGUAGAGAUGUGGAGGAACACCAGUGGCGAAGGCGACUCUCUGGUCUGUAACUGACGCUGAGGAGCGAAAGCGUGGGGAGCGAACAGGAUUAGAGACCCCGGUAGUCCCUGUCUCUUAUAC
rnacentral:rRNA from 1 species